rnacentral:rRNA from 1 species
CCUACGGGAGGCUGUAGUGAGGAAUAUUGGUCAAUGGGCGUAAGCCUGAACCAGCCAAGUCGCGUGAGGGAUGAAGGUUCUAUGGAUCGUAAACCUCUUUUAUAAGGGAAUAAAGUGUGGGACGUGUCCUAUUUUGUAUGUACCUUAUGAAUAAGGAUCGGCUAACUCCGUGCCAGCAGCCGCGGUAAUACGGAGGAUCCGAGCGUCAUCCGGAUUUAUUGGGUUUAAAGGGUGCGUAGGCUGCUUUGUAAGUCAGCGGUGAAAGUCUGUGGCUCAACCAUAGAAUUGCCGUUGAAACUGGGGGGCUUGAGUAUGUUUGCGGCAGGCGGAAGGCGUGGUGUAGCGGUGAAAUGCUUAGAUAUCACGCAGAACCCCGAUUGCGAAGGCAGCCUGCCAAGCCAUGUCUGACGCUGAUGCACGAAAGCGUGGGGAUCAAACAGGAUUAGAUACCCCUGUAGUC